rnacentral:rRNA from 1 species
GAUGAACGCUGGCGGCGUGCCUAAUACAUGCAAGUCGAGCGAACAGACGAGGAGCUUGCUCCUCUGACGUUAGCGGCGGACGGGUGAGUAACACGUGGAUAACCUACCUAUAAGACUGGGAUAACUUCGGGAAACCGGCGCUAAUACCGGAUAAUAUCUUGAACCGCAUGGUUCAAUAGUGAAAGACGGUUUUGCUGUCACUUAUAGAUGGAUCCGCGCUGCAUUAGCUAGUUGGUAAGGUAACGGCUUACCAAGGCAACGAUGCGUAGCCGACCUGAGAGGGUGAUCGGCCACACGGGAACUGGAACACGGUCCAGACUCCUGCGGGACGCAGCAGUAGGGAAUCUUCCGCAAUAGGCGAAAGCCUGGCGGAGCAACGCCGCGUGAGUGAUGAAGGUCUUCGGAGCGUAAAACUCUGUUAUUAGGGAAGAACAAAUGUGUAAGUAACUAUGCACGUCUUGACGGUACCUAAUCAGAAAGCCACGGCUAACUACGUG